rnacentral:rRNA from 1 species
UACGUAGGGGGCUAGCGUUGUCCGGAAUCAUUGGGCGUAAAGCGCGUGUAGGCGGUCCGGUAAGUCCGCUGUGAAAGUCGGGGGCUCAACCCUCGGAUGCCGGUGGAUACUGUUGUGCUAGAGUGCGGAAGGGGCAACUGGAAUUCUCGGUGUAGCGGUGAAAUGCGUAGAUAUCGAGAGGAACACCUGCGGCGAAGGCGGGUUGCUGGGCCGACACUGACGCUGAUGCGCGAAAGCCAGGGGAGCGAACGGG